CUGUGUGCUGGAAGGGGGAAAACUAUCGUGGCAGCAGAGCAGCAGAAAUAUAAGUGUUGCUCUCUUGGACUCCGUGGCCAGCCGUCUGUCACUUUUACCGCGGACCACUUGUCUGUCAUUAACGCGAAAUGGGAGCGACAGGAUUCAUUUUUUGCACAGUUGCACUGCAUGAAUGUGUCGCGUAAUGCGACCGAGAUGAGCUGCAUUUGGGAGGAAAUAUUCAUGGUUCGGGACGGUUUUGUUGGAGUAGCUUGUUGCUAGCUCUCCGCUAGUCACUGUGCUGGCUAACGUUACUUCCUAACGCAUUGGUUAAGGAUGCUACGCUGGAUACGACAACAGCUGGGCUUUGACCCCCCUCAUCAGAGUGACACCAGGACGGUUUACGUUGCAAACCGUUUCCCCGAGCAUGGCCACUACAUACCGCAACGCUUUGCUGACAACAGAAUCAUCUCUUCCAAGUACACAAUUUGGAAUUUUGUCCCUAAGAAUCUGUUUGAGCAGUUCAGAAGGAUAGCCAACUUCUAUUUUCUUGUUAUCUUCCUUGUACAGUUAAUGAUAGACACCCCAACUUCCCCAGUCACCAGUGGCCUGCCUCUCUUUUUUGUGAUUACAGUGACUGCCAUAAAACAGGGCUACGAGGAUUGGCUUAGACACAAAGCGGACAACGAGGUGAAUGGAGCUCCAGUCUUUGUGGUUCGCAGUGGAAGUCUGGUACAGACAAGAUCCAAGAACAUCAGGGUGGGGGACAUUGUUCGUGUGGCUAAAGAUGAGACGUUCCCAGCUGACCUGGCGUUGCUGUCGUCAGAUCGUGGAGAUGGCACCUGCCACAUCACCACAGCCAGCCUCGACGGAGAGACCAACCUUAAGACUCACUACUCUGUGGCAGAGACAGCAGUGUGUCAGUCAGUGUCCCAACUGGAGUCCCUGCAGGCUGUGGUGGAGUGUCAACAACCAGAAGCCGACCUGUACAGGUUUGUUGGUCGGAUUACGGUGACUCAGCAUGGAGAGGAGAUAGUCAGACCGCUGGGUCCAGAAAAUUUGCUUCUGCGAGGAGCCAGGUUGAAAAACACCAAAGAGAUUUUUGGUGUGGCUGUUUACACAGGAAUGGAGUCCAAGAUGGCCCUCAACUAUAAGUGCAAAUCCCAGAAACGCUCUGCAGUAGAGAAGUCCAUGAACACCUUCCUAAUCAUCUACCUGGGCAUCUUGCUGUUUGAGGCCGUCCUCAGCACAAUCUUAAAGUAUGCCUGGGAAGUUGAGAAAAACUGGAAAGAGCCUUUCUACAACCAAAAGACUGAUCAGGAGAGAAACAGCAGUCCGAUCUUGAAGUUCAUCUCAGACUUCUUGGCGUUUUUGGUCCUCUACAACUUCAUCAUCCCCAUUUCGCUCUACGUUACUGUGGAGAUGCAAAAGUUUCUGGGCUCCUUUUUCAUUGGCUGGGACUUGGACCUUUACCACGAGGAGAGCGACCAGAAAGCUCAGGUCAACACCUCUGACCUCAAUGAGGAGCUGGGCCAGGUGGAGUAUGUGUUUACAGAUAAGACGGGGACGCUGACAGAAAAUGAGAUGCUGUUUCGUGAGUGUUCAAUUAACGGAACCAAGUACCGCGAAGUCAAUGGUAAACUGGUACCAGAAGGAAUGACUGACGAUUCACCCGAUGGUUCUAUGCCUCACCUGAUAGGUGAGGAAUUGUUAUUUCUUAAGGCAGUGUCAUUGUGUCACACGGUUCAUAUCAGCUACGACCAGCCAGACUGCCUGGUUGGAGGAGGAGACCCAUUUUCCCAUUCAAACGGUUUCUCUUCCAAUCACAUGGAAUACUACGCCUCUUCACCGGACGAGAAAGCUUUAGUAGAGGCCACAAAGAGGAUCGGAGUGGCCUUUGCUUGCAGUAGUGGAGAUACCAUGGAGAUCAAAACAUUUGGCAAAUCAGAGAAAUACAAACUGCUCCAUUUGUUAGAGUUUGAUUCUGACCGCAGGAGGAUGAGCGUCAUACUACAGACUCCCUCAGGAGGCCAAGUGCUAUUCACCAAGGGGGCAGAGUCGGCCAUCUUGCCUUUCACUACCAGUGGAGAGAUAGAAAAGACGAGACUGCAUGUUGACGAAUUUGCCUUGAAAGGUCUGCGAACCUUGGUUGUAGCGUGUCGCCACUUCAGCCCAGAGGAGUACAUUGAUGUGGACAGCCAUCUGAACGCUGCCCGCACUGCACUGCAGCAGAGGGAGGAGAGGCUGCAGGAGGCCUUCAGCUACAUUGAGAGAGACCUGCAUCUGCUAGGAGCAACGGGCGUUGAGGACAAGCUCCAAGACAAAGUACAGGAGACCAUUGAGGCUCUGCGGCUGGCGGGGAUCAAAGUAUGGGUGUUGACAGGCGACAAACAUGAGACGGCGGUCAGCGUCAGCCUGUCCUGUGGCCACUUCCACAGGACCAUGAAUAUCCUGGAGCUUCUGCAACAGCGUUCUGAUAACGAGUGUGCUGAGCAGCUCCGCAGAUUGGCCAGGAGGAUAAAAGAGGACCAUGUUAUACAGCACGGUUUGGUUGUGGAUGGGGCCAGUCUUUCCCUAGCGUUGAGGGAACACGAGAAGCUCUUUAUGGAAGUGUGUAAAAACUGCUCAGCUGUGCUGUGCUGCCGCAUGGCCCCACUGCAGAAAGCGAAGGUGGUGCGUCUUUUUAAAACUUCCCCAGAGAAACCCAUCACACUGGCUAUUGGGGAUGGAGCCAAUGAUGUCAGUAUGAUACAGGAAGCUCACGUUGGCAUAGGUAUCAUGGGUAAGGAGGGUCGUCAGGCCGUGAGAAACAGUGACUAUGCAAUUGCCAGAUUUAAGUUCCUGGCUAAACUUCUGCUGGUCCACGGUCACUUCUACUACAUUCGAAUAGCUACGCUUGUACAGUACUUUUUCUACAAGAAUGUGUGUUUUAUCACGCCUCAGUUUUUAUACCAGUUCUUCUGUCUGUUUUCGCAACAAACUCUCUACGACAGUGUUUAUCUAACAUUGUACAACAUCUGCUUCACCUCGCUGCCCAUCCUCGUGUACAGUCUGUUUGAACAGCUGGUCCAUCCACACGUACUGCAGAACAAACCUGGCCUGUACAGGGACAUCAGCAAGAACUCCCUGCUGUCUUUCCGAACGUUCCUGUACUGGACUCUGUUGGGCUUCUGUCACGCCUUCAUCUUCUUUUUCGGAUCCUACAUACUGAUGGGAGAGGACACCACUCUUAUGGGCAAUGGACAGAUCUUGCGAGCUAACAGGCAGCUGAUGUUUGGGAACUGGACGUUUGGAACGCUGGUCUUUACUGUCAUGGUCAUCACAGUCACAUUAAAGCUUGCUUUAGAGACUCAUUUCUGGACUUGGAUGAACCAUUUUGUGACGUGGGGUUCGAUUGGCUUCUACUUCAUUUUCUCCCUCUUUUAUGGAGGCAUCAUCUGGCCGUUCCUCCACACCCAGGACAUGUACUUUGUAUUUGUACACCUGCUGUCUAGCGGUUCAGCCUGGUUUGCCAUCAUCAUCAUCGUCAUAACUUGCCUCUUUCCUGAUGUGUUUAAAAAGAUCUUCUAUCGACAUCUGCAGCCCACUGGCACACAGAAGAGUCAGAUGGAAGAGGGUGAGGGUUCAGUCGGCCCAGAAUAUGACCCUGUUAAAGCCCAGCGGAGCCCAGGGGAGGACAAUUGGCACCUGCUAGCUGCUUAUCCUCCCCCUGCUGUUCCCGGCCCAGACCCCUGCUCCCCUAGUCUCUCUCAGCCCCCCAAUCGCAGACCCUCAGCUGUGUGGAGUCCAUGUGCUGCUACCAACAUGGGCAGAGCGGCUGUUCCCGCCUGGCCAGCCUCCUGGAGCAAAUGACCAGGCAGUGUCAGGCCAGCACCAAUCAUUGCCACACAUCCAGCCGCAGCAACAGGUCUUGGAGCGACACGGAGAACUCUUAUUCCAACGAUCGAAGCAUCCUGACCCUGUCGCCCAUCGAGGCCACCCACUGUUGACUCCCAGGGCCACUGACUCUAACAUGCAGAGCUGGGGGAGAGCUUCCACUCCACAUAAUCACCCCGACCCCCUGCCACCAUUUUAGAAACCUACUUCAAUUUAAGCUCAAUAUAUUCUCAGCUGGAUGCAACGCUGACGCAUCAUGUGAAACCAAAGGAUUCGGCUCGGUGCAAGCAGGCUGCUUCUCCUUCAACAGUUAGUUUUUCCCGAGUGAAUGCAUUUCUAGUAGAAAGUUUAAGAAAGACGUCA